rnacentral:rRNA from 1 species
UACGUAGGGUGCGAGCGUUAAUCGGAAUUACUGGGCGUAAAGCGUGCGUAGGCGGUUCGUUAUGUCUGCUGUGAAAGCCCCGGGCUUAACCUGGGAAUGGCAGUGGAAACUGGCGGGCUUGAGUGUGGCAGAGGGGGGUAGAAUUCCACGUGUAGCAGUGAAAUGCGUAGAUAUGCGGAGGAACACCGAUGGCGAAGGCAAUCCCCUGGACCUGUACUGACGCUCAUGCACGAAAGCGUGGGGAGCAAACAGG